rnacentral:other from 1 species
GAGGAACUACUGUCUUCACGCAGAAAGCGUCUAGCCAUGGCGUUAGUAUGAGUGUCGUACAGCCUCCAGGCCCCCCCCUCCCGGGAGAGCCAUAGUGGUCUGCGGAACCGGUGAGUACACCGGAAUUGCCGGAAAGACUGGGUCCUUUCUUGGAUAAACCCACUCUAUGUCCGGUCAUUUGGGCGUGCCCCCGCAAGACUGCUAGCCGAGUAGCGUUGGGUUGCGAAAGGCCUUGUGGUACUGCCUGAUAGGGUGCUUGCGAGUGCCCCGGGAGGC